UGAUCUUGAAUUUGUUGGUACUAAUGCAAAUAGCUGUCUCUAAAGAUUUUCAUAUACUAAUAGCAACUAGCAAAGAAGACACCGUAUAACCGGAACAGAACCAAGAGUCAAGUUUCAAGCAUUCAGUCUUGGAGAUGCCAGCAAUGGCUGUGAGUGAAAAUGAAACUAUUUCACUACUUCACCAAGUUUGGAACAAUGAAGAAUUUGAAGUUAUCGACAGUCAUCUUGAAUGUUACAAUGGAAAUGAAGAUUUGGAUGAUAGACGAUGUUUGGAUACAUCGGUAAGAAGUCUUUCAACUCUUACUGAGGGGUCUGCAGUGGAAAGGAUAAACAGCUUCAAGCUCCUGGGUGUUAACAUCUCUGAAGAUCUAUCCUGGGUUCAACUUAUCCAUGCACUUACAACGAAGGCAAACCAGUGUCUAUAUUUCAUUCAGAGCUUGAGGAGAUUUGGUAUGUCACCAAAGAUUCUAGCACAUUUCUACAGAUGUACGUGGAGAACAUUCUAACUGGCUGCAUCGCCAUCUGGUAUUGCGGGGGCCAAUGCACAGGAUUGGAAAAAGGUGCAGAGGGUUGUAAACUCAGCCAGUUACAUCAUGGGCACAAGUCACCUUACCGUCAAGGAAACCUUCAAAAGUUGAUGUCUCAAAACGGCAGCACCUAUUAUUAAGGACCACCACCACCCAAGAUGUACCCUCUUUUCAUUGCUACCAUCAGAAAGGAAGAAGAAGAGCCUGAAGACACGCACUCAACAUUUUAGGAAGAGGUUACAGCUUCUUCCCCCUCUCCAUCAGAGGUUUUUAAUGGUCCAUGAACCUAUGAACUCUACCUCACUGUUUUGCUCACAUUUUGCACCACUUAACUAUUGUUAUAUAUUUUUUACUUUAACUUCCAGUAAUUUUUUAUGCAUUGCACUGU